rnacentral:rRNA from 1 species
AGCGAACGCUGGCGGCAGGCUUCACACAUGCACGUCGAGGGGAGCGGCAGACGGGUGAGUAACGCGUGGGAACGUACCUUUUGGUUCGGAACAACACAGGGAAACUUGUGCUAAUACCGGAUCCCGAAAGAUCGGCCCGCGUCUGAUUAGCUAGUUGGUGAGGUAAUGGCUCACCAAGGCGACGAUCAGUAGCGGGUCUGAGAGGAGGAUCAGCCAAAGUGGGACUGAGACACGGCCCAAACUCCUACGGGAGGUAGCAGUGGGGAAUAGUGGACAAUGGGGGCAACCCUGAUCCAGCCAUGCCGAGGGAGUGAUGAAGGCCCUAGGGUUGUAAAGCGCUGUGGUGCGGGAAGCGGUACCGCAAGAAUAAGCCCCGGAUAAGGUCGUGGCAGCAGCCGCGGUAAUUC